rnacentral:pre_miRNA from 1 species
GAAAAAAUACAGAGUUGUUGUAUGUCUUUCGGGCUGUGUGGCCAUGUUCCAGAAGUUCUUCUGGAACAUGGCCACACAGCCCGAAAGACAUACAACAACCCUGUGA